GGCUCGGUAGUUUAGUUAGUAAAGCGCUUGUCUAGCAUACAAGAGUCCUGAGAUCAAAUCCCAGCUGAUUUA
rfam:Aedes aegypti strain Liverpool supercont1.356 genomic scaffold, whole genome shotgun sequence.